rnacentral:rRNA from 1 species
CCUACGGGAGGCAGCAGUGGGGAAUAUUGCUCAAUGGACGAAAGCCUGACGCAGCGACGCCGCGUGCGGGAUGAAGGUCUUCUGAUCUUUAAACUCUUUCAGCAUGGAAGAACGUCCCCUUUCCUAAUCAGCGUUGAAUUUACGGUACCUGCAAGGAUAGCACCGGCUAACUCCGUGCCCGCAGCCGCGGUAAUACGGAGGGUGCGAGCGUUAAUCGGAUUUGCUGGGCGUAAAGCGCUCGUAGGCGGUAUGUCAAGUCAAGGGUGAAAUCCCCGCGCUCAACGUCGGCACUGCAUUUGAUACUGGCAAACUGGAGUGUGUGAGAGGAUAGUGGAAUUCAAGGUGUAGGAGUGAAAUGCGUAGAUAUC